rnacentral:rRNA from 1 species
GCUGAAACUCGCCUCCAUGAAGUUGGAUUCGCUAGUAAUCGCGCAUCAGCCAUGGCGCGGUGAAUACGUUCCCGGGCCUUGUACACACCGCCCGUCAAGCCAUGGGAGUUGGGGUGCCUGAAGUACGUGACCGCAAGGAGCGUCCUAGGGCAAAACCGAUGACUGGGGCGUAAGUCGUAACAAGGUACC